rnacentral:rRNA from 1 species
ACGCUCGACACCUACGGGAGGUAGCAGUGGGGAAUAUUGCACAAUGGGGGAAACCCUGAUGCAGCGACGCCGCGUGAGUGAAGAAGUAUUUCGGUAUGUAAAGCUCUAUCAGCAGGGAAGAAGAUGACGGUACCUGAGUAAGAAGCCCCGGCUAACUACGUGCCGGCAGCCGCGGUAAUCUGAGCGGGCUGGCAAGGC